rnacentral:rRNA from 1 species
CGCGGCCUAUCAGCUUGUUGGUGAGGUAAUGGCUCACCAAGGCGACGACGGGUAGCCGGCCUGAGAGGGCGACCGGCCACACUGGAACUGAGACACGGUCCAGACUCCUACGGGAGGCAGCAGUGGGGAAUAUUGCACAAUGGGCGAAAGCCUGAUGCAGCGACGCCGCGUGGGGGAUGAAGGCCUUCGGGUUGUAAACCCCUUUUAGCAGGGAAGAAGCGAAAGUGACGGUACCUGCAGAAAAAGCGCCGGCUAACUACGUGCCAGCAGCCGCGGUAAUACGUAGGGCGCAAGCGUUGUCCGGAAUUAUUGGGCGUAAAGAGCUCGUAGGCGGUUUGUCGCGUCUGCUGUGAAAAUCCGAGGCUCAACCUCGGACUUGCAGUGGGUACGGGCAGACUAGAGUGUGGUAGGGGAGACUGGAAUUCCUGGUGUAGCGGUGGAAUGCGCAGAUAUCAGGAGGAACACCAAUGGCGAGGGCAGGUCUCUGGGCCACAACUGACGCUGAGGAGCGAAAGCAUGGGGAGCGAACAGGAUUAGAUACCCUGGUAGUCCAUGCCGUAAACGGUGGGCACUAGAUGUGGGGCUCUUUCCAUGAGUUCCGCGUCGCAGCUAACGCAUUAAGUGCCCCGCCUGGGGAGUACGG